UAUAUUUUAAUGUCAAAAUCAAAAGAAGUAAAGAAAUAAAGUAAAGUUUCUUAUAUCAACUCCUUUUAAUUUAAUCUACUAGCCACUCUAACAUAUAUCUAGAUUUAUCAACAUAUAAUAUGUUUUAACUAAUUUUUAUAUAUUGUAAGCAUUUACAAUACGACACCAUCCUACUAAAUUGACUAUCUUAAGAAAGAUUAAUCUAAUUUAUCAAUAUUUUACAAAAAUAAAUUUUUACUCCUUCU
rnacentral:lncRNA from 1 species